rnacentral:lncRNA from 1 species
UGUAGCCUACCAAAUCCAAAUUUUGGUAAAGCAACUUAGCAUAGCACCUGGUUAGCCACAAAAAUGUCAGCCAUUUUUUUGCUACUAACCAUUCUCUUUCAUUUGGCUUACCGUCAAAUAUAAAGGCGAGAGAAUUCCUUAUUUAGCACCCCUAAAUUUUGUUUCUUAUUUGACACUGAAAACUUUUUUUCCUAUCUCAACACCAAGUCUAAAUUUUGUGCCCUUUAUGACACUUCAGUCCAUUUUCCCAUCUAACACCGUUAAAUUGCAUGUAAAAAGACACUUUUGCCCUUCAUGUCAUAUGUGACCAAAUUUUUAAUAGAUGUUAAAUAUUAAAAAAAACUCAUGUCUAGCUCAACUGGCCCCGCAGCCGUGCCGGCAACUACUACAUGCAUCUAUGAUCACCAGGAAAUGCCUAAAUGAUCCAAUAAAUGGUUGAAUUGGGCCACUUAUGUCUUCUUAAAUAUGUUCAAGGAAAUUGGGAACGUAUUCUUAAUUUUGAGGUAAGUUGGAUUUAUAAUUUUCUUAUUUAAAAAUCAUUUAUGUGCGACGUUUGGCAGAGAUUUAAUAUAUAUAAUGUGAUCCAAAUGGUAAUGUGGUGUAAUUUUCAAGUAUUAGUUUAUCAUAUCCGUUGUUUCGACUAAAAGUAAAUAUUCAAUGUUAUUUUCAGAACUUGUUUCCAGAUGUAAAACUUUAAUCGGAUAUCUCUAUACUUAAAAGGGUACUAGUGGAUUAAGGAUACAAGAGUGCAUCCUAAGUUGCAAUGGUUGUAUCCACGGGAAGAACAAUUAUGUGUCUACGAGAACCUCCAAUUGAUGCACCAUGUGAAGUCAUGUUGACAUUUUCUUUUCUCUUUGGUAAGGUUAUGGAAUAAAUUUUAUUUUCCCUAGUAUUGUGUUAGUGGUGUAUAUAUUCACUAAACAAGGUUCUUCCAUUCCUCUGUUUCCAUAUGCCGCUGCACCAUCAUCCACUGCCAUGCUGAGGUGGUGGAGAUUAGCAGGCAGCAGUCUUAAUGGCGUUGAUGGGGAGGUGUCUUCGCGGUGCUGAUGGGGAGGUUGAGACCUCGUGGAAUCCAUGUUCUCAGGCGGAGGCUAAGUUGGCGAUUUGUCACUGCAGUUGUGAAUCAGCAUAAGAGAUGGCACGCUUAGGUGCCGAGGGCCUCGCUAGAUCCAGAUGGAUUGUAGGAGCCGCAAUCUCGCUCGCCACUCUGCGGGGGUUUGUCAAGGUUGAUGGCGAGCCUCUACAGGGUGAUGUAGUGGCUUUUUUUUUUUGAAAAAACUCAGACUUUAUUCAUUUGUAAUAAGUAAUACAUCGUUUGUGAGGAUCAUUACAAUUUCAUUUAAGGGCUCCUCAAACCAAUCGGAAGUCAAAGAAAAUCUAGCUGGAAAUCAGGGUGAAUGGGUGAUGUAGUGGCUAGUCUGGAUGAAUAGGCAGAGGAAAGGCUGACGGGACGAAAUGACCCUCCUUACUUGAUCAGGUUAUGUAUGGUGUUCCUGGUGGUGGAGUUGGGCACAGUCUGAAACCGUCACAUGGAAGAAGUAUGGUUGUGGUGGGGUAAUGACAUGUUUAGCCCGACGAGCAGCCGAAUGGGGAAGGACGUGGCAGCCAAAGCAUUCACCUCCUAGUGCUGGUGACGGCCGGGGUGCUUGGUACUGGAGCGCCCGGACCAAGGUGUUGCAUUGAGCAUGUGUUGUAUACGUUGACAACAACGAUGAUGAUCUGACGCGUAGGGGUGGCGUCGAUGGCCACAUCCCGUACUUGCGCGGUGUCAGUGAGCACCCAUGUUGGUGCGGUAAUGGUGAAUGCCGUCGCCUCUUUUGUAAUGCCG